rnacentral:lncRNA from 1 species
UAUGCAGACAAGAAGAAAAAGUACCACUUUUGUAUUAGGAGCCACAAGCGCUUUGAGAGGAAUGGGCGAGACCUGUGCCCUUUCCGGUGUCUCCCGGAGGACCCAGAAAUUCGGAACGUUCCCUGGAAAUUACGUUGCCCCGGUGUGAGUGGUCUCCAUGGCAACUUGGAGCCAGCCAGGAUGGGGUGGGGAGCGGUGGCACUCGUGGG